rnacentral:rRNA from 1 species
GAUGAACGCUAGCUACAGGCUUAACACAUGCAGGUCGAGGGGAAACGAUAUUGGAAGCCUGCUUCCGAUAGGCGUCGACCGGCGCACGGGUGAGUAACGCGUAUCCAACCUGCCCACCACUUGGGGAUAACCUUGCGAAAGUAAGACUAAUACCCAAUGAUAUCCCUAGAAGACAGCUGAAGGAGAUUAAAGAUUCAUCGGUGAUGGAUGGGGAUGCGUCUGACUAGCUUGUUGGCGGGGUAACGGCCCACCAAGGCGACGAUCAGGAGGGGUUCUGAGAGGAAGGUCACCCACAUUGGAACUGAGACACGGUCCAAACUCCUACGGGAGGCAGCAGUGAGGAAUAUUGGUCAAUGGGCGAGAGCCUGAACCAGCCAAGCAGCGUGCAGGAUGACGGCCCUAUGGGUUGUAAACUGCUUUUAUAAGGGAAUAAAGUGAGUCUCGUGAGACUUUUUGCAUGUACCUUAUGAAUAAGGACCGGCUAAUUCCGUGCCAGCAGCCGCAGUAA